UUUGGUGAUGACGGCGGAGGGGAACCACGCGUUCCCAUCCCGAACACGACCGUUAAGCCCUCCAGCGCCGAUGGUACUUGGACCGCAGGGUCCUGGGAGAGUAGGACGUCGCCAAGC
rfam:Paenibacillus sp. 1DrF-4 scaffold8, whole genome shotgun sequence.